GGCGUGCCUAACACAUGCAAGUCGAACGAGAAAGUGGAGCAAUCCAUGAGUAAAGUGGCGACCGGGUGAGUAACACGUGACUAACCUACCUCCGAGUGGGGAAUAACUCCGGGAAACCGGGGCUAAUACCGCAUAACAUCGCAAGAUCAAAGCAGCAAUGCGCUUGGAGAGGGGGUCGCGGCUGAUUAGCUUGUUGGCGGGGUAACGGCCCACCAAGGCGAAGAUCGGUAUCCGGCCUGAGAGGGCGCACGGACACACUGGAACUGAAACACGGUCCAGACUCCUACGGGAGGCAGCAGUGGGGAAUUUUGCGCAAUGGGGGAAACCCUGACGCAGCAACGCCGCGUGGAGGAUGAAGCCCUUUGGGGCGUAAACUCCUUUCGACUCGGAAGAUAAUGACGGUACGAGUGGAAGAAGCACCGGCUAACUCUGUGCCAGCAGCCGCGGUAAUACAGAGGGUGCGAGCGUUGUUCGGAAUUAUUGGGCGUAAAGGGCGCGUANGCGGUGCGGUAAGUCACCUGUGAAAUCUCCUGGCUUAACUGGGA
rnacentral:rRNA from 1 species